AGAUAGCCGAUCCUUCAUUGUCAUUUCUUACUCAGCUUCAUCGGUUGAAAAAGAUUUUGAGCGAUUACAGUAUGGAAACUCUUUGGGUUUUGACUAUUGCACUUUUCACCCUGUCCUUAGAAAUAUCCUGGGCGAAAGGUAUGUAUGUGUUGCACUGUCCAAUUGUUCUUUUUUAGCGUGUCGUUUGGUUGAAUAGAGUCAGUUUUAGAAGAAGUCCCUGCUGGUAAUUGCGAAAAACGUUUAGAGCCAAAUUCAGUACGCCGGCCCGUCUUUAUGCAGAGAUCGUACACAGGGAGUUAAAAAAAAAAUAGAUAUGAAUAAAAGUCAUAGACAUUGCUCAUCUGAACUGCUUUCCAUUUUUCACGCUGACGUUUCAUUUCACACGGAGCUGCGCUCGACAGUCUGCGAAUUGUUCCUCUUGAUACACAUCUUCGAGAAUAAAACAAAGUUUGAUUGGCCAUGCCACCUUUUAAUUUUAUUCGUAGCCGAUUGUAGCAGGUGUCAUUUUAUUGCGCGCGUGCGCUCACCUUCUCAUUUAUUUAUUUGAGGUCAAAUUUACUAGAUGAACACU